GGAGAAGAACUGGGCUGUUGGAAAAAGUAUCGAAGGAGGAACGUAAUUUUAGAGGCUAAUGAUCUUUGCCUUUACAAAUGGGCGGGAGAGAGAGCGCUGAGUGAAACUGGAUACACCUAGAAUCACCCUUGAAAGGAUGUGCUGUGCUCCAGAAGCACGAAUCUGACCAGUUGCCCCCGCCUGCUGACAACCUCGUGGGUUUCCUUAGUAACCAGUGACCCCACUAAUGAUCCUUAUCAGCGGUUGCCACGGAUACCAAUAGCCCCCACAGCCAACUGUCCUCCAAAGCACAUAUUAGAGGUGAAACACGGUUUGUUGGGGAUCUUUGUCAGAGGAGGGGAAACAAAGACGAUAACAAGGAGUGGGAUCAGGUGAAUAAU